rnacentral:rRNA from 1 species
GAUGAACGCUGGCGGCGUGCCUAAUACAUGCAAGUCGAGCGAACAGACGAGGAGCUUGCUCCUCUGACGUUAGCGGCGGACGGGUGAGUAACACGUGGAUAACCUACCUAUAAGACUGGGAUAACUUCGGGAAACCGGAGCUAAUACCGGAUAAUAUAUUGAACCGCAUGGUUCAAUAGUGAAAGACGGUUUUGCUGUCACUUAUAGAUGGAUCCGCGCCGCAUUAGCUAGUUGGUAAGGUAACGGCUUACCAAGGCAACGAUGCGUAGCCGACCUGAGGGGGUGAUCGGCCCCCGGGGAGCGAGGACGCGGUCCCACACCCGGAGGGAGGCACCGGGCGGAAUACUACGGGAAGGGGGAAAGGCCUGAAGGGGAAACGCGGCGGGAGUAAUAAAGGUCUUCGGAUCGUAAAACUUGUUUAUGGGAGAAGAACAAAGGUGUAAGAAACGAGACGCUUUUGAACGUACCCUAAUAAGAAACCCCGGCUAAAUUCGGG